rnacentral:rRNA from 1 species
AUGGUUAGGUGGUCAGAGAUCUGCAAGCCUCGCGACCAGGGCGGUCUCGGGAUCAUGUCCUCCAAGCACAUGAACAUUGCCCUUCUGACUCGGUGGCUUUGGCGGAUUGCCAACGGCGAUGGUGGUAUAUGGCUUCGCAUCAUUCAGCAGAAAUACCUCCGCGGCCAACCCCUCGCUUUCUGCCAGCGGUCUAGGGGCUCCUAG